rnacentral:rRNA from 1 species
GAUGAACGCUGGCGGCGUGCUUAACACAUGCAAGUCGAACGGAGAAAGGGUAGCUUGCUAUCUUUUCUUAGUGGCGGACGGGUGAGUAACGCGUGGGUAACCUGCCCUUUGCAGGGGGAUAACAGUGAGAAAUCACUGCUAAUACCGCAUACCAACUUCUUUCGCAUGAAAGAAGUUUGAAAGAUUUAUCGGCAAAGGAUGGACCCGCGUUGGAUUAGCUAGUUGGUGAGAUAACAGCCCACCAAGGCAACGAUCCAUAGCCGGGCCUGAGAGGGUGAACGGCCACACUGGGACUGAGACACGGCCCAGACUCCUACGGGAGGCAGCAGUGGGGAAUAUUGCACAAUGGGCGAAAGCCUGAUGCAGCGACGCCGCGUGAAGGAUGAAGGUCUUCGGAUUGUAAACUUCUAUCAGCAGGGAAGAAAGGGCCUAUGGCCUAUGACGGUACCUGACUAAGAAGCCCCCGGCUAACUACGUG